GUCGAACGGAUCCUUCGGGAUUAGUGGCGGACGGGUGAGUAACACGUGGGAACGUGCCCUUUGGUUCGGAACAACUCAGGGAAACUUGAGCUAAUACCGGAUGUGCCCUUCGGGGGAAAGAUUUAUCGCCAUUGGAGCGGCCCGCGUCUGAUUAUCUAGUUGGUGGGGUAAAGGCCCACCAAGGCGACGAUCAGUAGCUGGUCUGAGAGGAUGAUCAGCCACAUUGGGACUGAGACACGGCCCAAACUCCUACGGGAGGCAGCAGUGGGGAAUCUUGCGCAAUGGGCGAAAGCCUGACGCAGCCAUGCCGCGUGAAUGAUGAAGGUCUUAGGAUUGUAAAAUUCUUUCACCGGGGACGAUAAUGACGGUACCCGGAGAAGAAGCCUCGGCUAACUUCGUGCCAGCAGCCGCGGUAAUACGAAGGGGGCUAGCGUUGUUCGGAAUUACUGGGCGUAAAGGGAGCGUAGGCGGACUGUUAAGUUAGAGGUGAAAGCCCAGGGCUCAACCUUGGAAUUGCAUUUGAUACUGGCAGUCUUGAGUACGGAAGAGGUAUGUGGAACUCCGAGUGUAGAGGUGAAAUUCGUAGAUAUUCGGAAGAACACCAGUGGCGAAGGCGACAUACUGGUCC
rnacentral:rRNA from 1 species